UACACAGUUGUACCUUGUGAACCGUACCAAACUAUUCAGGGGUCGGCUUGUCCGUUAAAUGGUCGUCGGACGCGAGAGAUCGCGGCCGCUCGACCGGCCCCGCACGCGUUUUGUUUUUUAUAAACAUAUGUGUACCUGUCUGACCAAGCGUUGAGGCCGGCCCAAGGGUCGGUCGCAGCAAUUAGAGCAAAAAACGAGAUACAACUUUUGACGGUGGAUCUCUUGGCUCACGCAUCGAUGAAGAACGCAGCCAGCUGCGAUAAGUAGUGUGAAUUGCAGAAUUCAGUGAAUCAUCGAAUCUUUGAACGCAAAUGGCGCUCUUGGGUUCUCCCAGGAGCAUGUCUGUCUGAGUGUCGGAUAUCAUCCAACGCACGCCAGCGUGCGGAAUUGAGGCGUCACGGUCCGUACUGCACGGACCGUGUCCCUUGAAAGUCAGAGAGACUCGCCGCGUCGCGGGAAGAUUCCCCGUGCACACCAGCGGAGGCUAAAAUGUCUUUUGCCCUUCGCGUGCCGGGAAGUCGCCGCGUGCGGCGGUCGUCGUCGGGCGAUC
rnacentral:rRNA from 1 species